CCUGAACACUGGCCUAGUUUGUCCAUUCAUUCCUUCACGCAUUCAUUCAUUCAAGAAGCAUCUAUCAAGCAUCUCCUGCGUACCAGAUGCAUUGCCAGUUGCUGGAGAUUCAAAGCCAAAAUCACGAAGUCACCAGAGCCAUGAGGGCCAGACCUGGAGCACCUCAAACAAACUUGGUGCUGAUCAGGGAAGGCUGCUCGAGACCUCGGAUGGGUUCUUGAGAAAGGUCUGGAGAUGUUACCUCUGAUAGUAAGUCUUCUGACUAUGAUAAGUGGUUGAUGGAAAGGAGAGAAAAUUUCAACACACAGAAUGAAGAUCUGAUGGGAAAUAGGGAAAAGAUGAGAAGCAAUAUAGAGCACGGGGUUUCUAAACCUACAUCCACAGUGACUAUAUAAUUUGUCAUCCAAACCAGGAUACAUUUGAGCUUUAAAAACGGUCACUCUCAAAUCAUUUCACUUGGGGUGGGGGGGGGACUUCCCUGGC
ensembl:lncRNA